UCCCAAGUAUCAGGUUCUGACUCUCCU
rnacentral:piRNA from 1 species